UUUUUUUUUUUUUUUUUGUAUUUUUUAGUAGAUGAUGGGGUUUCACUGUGUUGGCCAGGGUGGUCUCGACCUUCUGACCUCAUAAUCCACCCACCUCAGCCUCCCUAAGUGCUGGGAUUACAGGUGUGAGCCACCGCACCCAGCUAAUAUUUUCCAUACAAUUUUUUUUUCUGAGACAGGGUCUCACUCUGUCACCCAGGCUGGAGUGCAAUGGUGUGAUCUUGGCUCACUGCAACCUCUGCCUCCAGGCUCAAGUGAUCCACCUGCCUCAGUCUCCCAGAGGAUCUGGGACUACAGGCGUGAGCCACUCUGUCCAGGUAAUUUUCCUAUUUUUUUUUUUUUUUGUAGAGACAGGGUUUUGCCAUGUUGCCCUGGCUGGUCUAACUCCUGCACUCAAGUGACCCACCUGCCUUGGGCUCUCAAAGUGCUAGGAUUACAGGCACGAGCCAACACACUCAGCCCAUACAUCUUCUAUAUUUGUAUUUUCACUUCAUGUAAAUAAAGAUGCAUGCCAUGGUUAUUUGGCACACAAACAUGUAAAAAUAUGAUAUAUAUUCACCAACACUGUGGCAGGUUUCACAGUGUAAGAAUAUCAAAAUUGCACUUUCUAUGGGAUUUUCAUUAUAUCCAUAUAAAUAUUCUAAGGCAGAGUGUAGAGAGAAUAAUUCAAGUGCAGAGUAUGAUUACAGUUUCCCAAAAUUGUAUGUUGAUUCCACAAAGAAAAAAAAAUUGUUCUAGAUCCUCCAACCUAAAAGACUGAGUGUAUUGUUAUUAUCUGUUAUGAAGUAUCCUACUGAGGUAGGAUAAAACAGUGUUGGUACAAAGAAUGUGAUUUGCUCAUAGUUAUAAGAAAACGUUGAAUUUUUUUUGGCAAAACAUUAUGUCUGUGACACAUUCUUAAUAAAACUAUAGCAAAAUGUAAUUCCAGCAAUUAGUGUGAAUUCUACUAAAAAAAAACAAACCAAAACCAAAACAAAAAACACGGUAUUCUGGUUCUUCUGACCAAGCUCUCCAUUCCAAUAACUGUUAUCUCUUCGAUUUCAAAAAUAAGCCUAUUUUUCAUCAAUCUCUGCUAUAAAACAGCUAUUGCCAUUCAAUAGAGAAAGUGGCAACCAUUUCCCCUGCACUAUUCCUAUCACAUAUAACUAAUAACCUAUCACAUAUAUGUCACUAAUAACUUAUUACUCUCCUCUCAUAAAAAUUCCAGUGUCCUGAGGUCUUGGCCUACUCAAUGCAGGUAGAGCCUGACUUCCCUAAAACCCAUGGUGUCUCUCAGAAGAGCACCUUGAACACAAUCAGUAUGAUGAUUGAUAAUCAUAGUUUUACAUUAUUUUCUGCUCCUAAACCAUGGUCUCUCAAUUGAGAGAAGAUUUAACUUUAUAAGGCAGAGUCCUCCUCCUUCAAUAAACAUAGAUAAAAAUUAUCCUCAUGUAAUGAAGUAGGCCUUUCCAUACUGCGUUUCUUUCCCAGACAGGCACCAUGAAAGGUGCUUAAGGAUGCAAAAUAGCCACAGAUCCAUAGUUCAGGUUGAAAGUCACAAACAGUACUCUUUUUAAGAAACCUCAAACAAUGGAAGAUUUUAUAACCUGAAGGUAAGCAGCCAUUUCCAAAUGUCCUUCAACCUUUGAAAUAUAUAAUGUCUUAAGUUUUACCAUAUGGGGAUGUGUAAUUAUCGUGCAGUUUAUCAUAUUAAAAGUGAAUCAAAGAACUAGAGACUGAGUCACUCUUUGUAUGAAUCCUCACCUACAGUUACAGUCUUAGAGUAAGAGCUUCAGGAUACACAUUGCAUUUGUGUGGUUCCAUCAAAUAUGUAGACUUUAAUGCCUACAAAGCUGUGAGGCCUGAAUAAAGCCUCUGCCACACAC
rnacentral:lncRNA from 1 species